UUUGAUCUCAGCCUCGAACGUUGGAACGUCCGUUCGAUAUCCAACUGGGAUAUGCUGGGAUUCGUUAAUUACAUAACCAUACUGGUUAGAUUGACCAACCAUAGGCCACAACAAUAAGUAUAUACAUACUUAGCGAAAGUCAGGCUGCAAGUCGUUACAAAUGAAGCCAGAGGUGGCUAAUUAAAGCAUGGCAAAACAUUUAAGGUGAUAUUGCGGAUUAACGUCGCGGAUUAACCCUCUGUCCUCUAUCGAUACUUGCUCAAACGGCUAGGUUGAUGUUGUUACAGGAUAGUUAAGCUUCACCAGUGGCCUCCGUCCCGAGGCAGUUCCCUGCUCUCCCUUGCUAGAGGGGCACCCUAAUCCAUUCACCCCAUCCGACUCCAGAGUAUACUCUUUGAGUUUGGCAACUCACCACCAGCAUCCAACCAAAUCUAGCGGAUAACGGCGCAUCAACUUAGUUCCUGGUCAGCUCGCAAGUUGAUUUUAUCACGUCCUACACCGUCCACACGAUGGGGGGCCACCUCCCAAUUCACCACCCCUCAUGAGGGGUAUUUGAUCAAAUACCCCGAGAGGUCGGCAGGCGGAUUAGAACCCGAACACUCCGAGAGCAGAAGUCAGGCCUUAUCCUUUGCCAGCCGCCUGCGUUGUUGGCAAACUUACCUCGCCUUUCCAACCUUUGGUUCCCUUAUGGAACGAAACUAUAUGGUAAGUUCGUACCAAGGACAUCCGUGCCCUAAUCGCUGGCCUAAAUCCGCACUGGAAAUACACCCUUAGGCGUCCGUCCGAAGCUAUAACGCAGUUCGCCUUGUUGUAAAUAGCUGAUAAACGGACCAGUUAAGCACAAGCUGGACAAGCGAGCUGACACUAUGCUUCAACCUCAAAGGAUAUUCCAAAGUCCAGAAGAGCAAUAGAUGUUACAGUCAGCUAAAGAAGCAUUGCUGCUUCAGGGAACAAAUAGCACUCGGCGAUCAGGUUCGUACGAUAAGACCCAACAAGCAAUCAGUCCAGGCGCAGUAAAUCCUAUCGUAACGACGAACCAUAAACGUUCAGGAAGUC
rnacentral:lncRNA from 1 species